rnacentral:lncRNA from 1 species
GUAUAACACAUCUAGGUUUAUUAUUUAUUACAGAGGAAAGAAUUUUAGAGAAUUUUAAAAGCUGUAUUGUCUUUGUACAGAUGGAGCAUUAUAAUACUGAAGAGAGAAAUUGAAGUUUCAGCCAAAAUUUUGAAAAGUUUCAGAUUUUUUUUUUGCAUAAUCUUCAGAUAAAAGUUUUUUUGGAUGAUCCAAUAAUUAGAUCUAUUGGAAACAAUCAUCGUUUAGAGAUUACACUACAGGCUGCUUGAGUGUCAGAAGCACAGUACAUCAUUAGUGUUUUCUUGGAGCACUAGUGGAGGACUACUGAUCUGUCAGUUUUUCUUGAAUAAAGAAGCCCCUUUUCCAAGAGAGACUAGGAAGUGCAGAAUUUGUAAGAUUCUUCUUCAUGGAGCACAGCAUGAGCACAUCAGAAUGCAGACUCCCCCCUCAGUGCUAUUAUAUGAGGUCCACAUGCUGAAAUUCUAACCAAACUACAUCACAAGACCUUUUCAUAUUCCCUGGUAGCCAUGUCCCUCCAUUUGGCACUGAUGCAGCUGUUUAUUUGGAUCUACAUGUCUAGCGAUGAUGGCUGAUUUCCUGGAUUGGACAUUGACUCCAACAAGGCAAGAAGGAUUCAUUUUUAAAACACUUAUGAAAUUUAUGAGAUGAGUGGAAUGGAAAGAAUUUUUAAUAAUCCAAGCACCAGUAAACCUCUUAUAAGAGCAGUGUUAUA